rnacentral:rRNA from 1 species
UACAGAGGUCUCAAGCGUUGUUCGGAUUCAUUGGGCGUAAAGGGUGCGUAGGCGGCGCGGUAAGUCGGGUGUGAAAUCUCGGAGCUUAACUCCGAAACUGCAUUCGAUACUGCCGUGCUUGAGGACUGGAGAGGAGACUGGAAUUUACGGUGUAGCGGUGAAAUGCGCAGAUAUCAGGAGGAACACCAAUGGCGAAGGCAGCUCGCUGGGACGUGACUGACGCUGAGACGCGAAAGCGUGGGGAGCAAACAGG